rnacentral:rRNA from 1 species
UGGGGAAUAUUGCACAAUGGGCGCAAGCCUGAUGCAGCCAUGCCGCGUGUGUGAAGAAGGCCUUCGGGUUGUAAAGCACUUUCAGCGAGGAGGAAGGUGGUGAGCUUAAUACGCUCAUCAAUUGACGUUACUCGCAGAAGAAGCACCGGCUAACUCCGUGCCAGCAGCCGCGGUAAUACGGAGGGUGCAAGCGUUAAUCGGAAUUACUGGGCGUAAAGCGCACGCAGGCGGUUUGUUAAGUCAGAUGUGAAAAUCCCCGGGCUCAACCUGGGAACUGCAUUUGAAACUGGCAAGCUAGAGUCUCGUAGAGGGGGGUAGAAUUCCAGGUGUAGCGGUGAAAUGCGUAGAGAUCUGGAGGAAUACCGGUGGCGAAGGCGGCCCCCCUGGACGAAGACUGACGCUCAGGUGCGAAAGCGUGGGGCAGCAAACAGGAUUAGAUACCCUGGUAGUCCAGCGCUGUAAAACGAUGUCGAUUUGGAGGUUGUGCCCUUGAGGCGUGGCUUCCGGAGCUAACGCGUUAAAUCGACCGCCUGGGGAGUACGGCCGCAAGGUUAAAACUCAAAGGAAUUGAC